GGUAUAUAAUAGGUAGACAGGCUCAGAGCAUCCCAAACCCCUCCGCACCUAUCUGCUCCAGUCGCUGGUGAACCUCGUUGCAAGCCCAGCCCAGAAUGUCUCAGCAGAAGCAGAACCAGUGUGCUCCCCCGCAGCAGUGCUGCCCCCCACCCCAGCAGUGCUGCCCCCCACCAAAGCAGUGCUGCCCCCCGCCUCAACAGUGCUGUCCCCCUCCCCAGCAGUACUGCCCCCCACCCCAGCAGUGCUGCCCCCCACCUCAACAGUGCUGUCCCCCUCCCCAGCAGUGCUGCCCGCCUCCCCAGCAGACCAAGCAGCCUUGCCAGCCCCCACCCAAGUGCCAGGAGCCCUGUGCCCCCAAGUGCCCACCCCCUCAGCAGUGCCAGAAGUCCAAGCAGAAGUAAGCCCUGGGCAUGUGAUCAGAGGCGAGCCCCCAGGAAAAACAGAGCAUGAAGUUCCUUCUGGGCCAGUAUCUUACACUCCACAAGCCAAGCAAAGCCCUGCUCACCAAUGCUUCUGGAUGCAGCCACACUUCACACCUGGGGGAGAGGCAGCACCAGGCCGGCGGCUUCCUCGAGCUCUACUCUUCUUAAUUAGCAGCUGCAGUUUCCAUCUCAGACAAGGAUCUGGUUCUAAACUAUCUAAUCAUCUUUCCUGACAUGCAUCUGCAUUGCCCUGCUGGAAACAUGAGCGGCAUGCCCAGACAUCUCCUACCACGCUUCUCCUCAGCUCCUGUUUUCAAACAAUUAAAAUAGAAUUCCUCUGG